rnacentral:lncRNA from 1 species
GAAGUUUAAGUGUUUAUUGUUUGUUUGUGCCUCUGUUUGUGUGGAAGGAAGUGAGCAGGUGCACACGUGUCCUGCUGUCCUGUGGAGGUCAGAGGACAGCUCUCAGGAGUUGUUUUCUCAGUCCACUGUGUUUUGGAGCCAGGUGCUGUUUCUGCCAGGUGUGCUUCUGGCUAGCUGUGGAGAAGGCUUCAGAGUGCGGUGUGACCACAGAGACAUGCCACCGAAUCUGGGUUUUAUAUGGGUCCCAGGGAUAAACCUCAGGUUGUCGGGCUUGUGCAACAAGUGAAAAGUAUUUUCACUCACUGAGCCAUCUAGCUCUCAGUCCCCUAACUUCUUUUUUUGUUUGUUUGUUUUGAGUCAGGGUCUUUCUGUGUAAUAGCUCUGGCUAUCCUGGAACUCUGUAGAUCAGGCUGGCCUGGAACUCAGAGAUUCACUUGCUCUGGCCGUCCUGAGUGCUGGGAUUAAAGGCAUGGGCUAACAUGCCCGGCUCUGUUUUGUUUUUUUUGUUUUUUGUUUUUUUUAAAGAAAAAAGUUACUAGUAUGGAAAAUAAUUGCUGUAGCUAUUUUUCUAGAUAAAAGCAAAGGGCAGUAUUCCUGGAAUGAGGACCAAGCUGAUUGAUUGUAGAGAAGAUGAGGUUUUGUCCUGUUGCGGUUACACAGGUAACAUUGCAGCAAUUCAGAGUGAGCUCUCUAGUCUUUAAUGCGUGACGGUCACGUGCCUAGGUGAGCGUGGGGUUAUAGUGCCUGGGUUUUAGCCAGUGCUUUGGUUGCCUUUUACAGUUUUCAGAACUUGUAAAGAAACUUGACCAUUUUGGGAACAACUGUUAGCAGGUGUAGAGGUGUGGGGAGUGGGUGGUCGGAUUUCCUGUCUGCCUUGUUCCUUUGCUGGAAUUGGCCAUAUUUUAUAUCAACUAGUUUGGAAGGGACUUUCUGCACAGAUUAGCCCUUUUGUCUGACAGAACAGUUGAGGGUCAGGAGUGCUCAGGGAAGAGAAUGAAGUAGCCUUUCUAAGAUUCUUAAUGUGUGAUUAGGUUCUUAGGUAACUUUUCUUCUGUGCAGGAGAGUAGUUUAGCUUUCAGCAUUGAUGCAAUUUCUGUGAGUAGAAUUGCUAGUUAACAUUUUAUAUGGUGUUAGUUUUUUCUUCCUUUGGUGCUAUUGGAAGUCCUUGUUCAUGUUUGGCAAGUUCUGUACCAUCAAGGGCUGUAUAUUCCCAGUCCUUGUUUUGUACUGUUUUGAGACAGGAUAUUGAUAUUUUUAUUAAGCUAGCCUGGAAUUCCCAGAGCAGUUCAGGCUGGCCUCAAACUCAGUACUUUGCUUUGAAUUCUAGGAUUACAGGAGUAUCUUAACAUACUGGGCAGACAUCCCCUUUAAUUUUAAUUUUCUUUUAAUGUUAAGAUAAAGUUGUUGCCAGGCAUGGUGAUGAUGCACACCUGUAAUCCCAGUAUCAUAAGGCAAGAGGAGAGAAUGUUUAAAGCCAGCUGCUCAUCUCUUAAAAAUCUGUUUCUUCCAAGAAAUAUUUUUUUAGGGAUAAACAUUUUAUCAAAUCUGUGCAUGUUGUGUGUAUUCUUAAAAGUCAGUUUAUUAUGUACAAGGAAGGGCUAUUUUAAAAGCUGCCUAGAGUUGUUUUUUUGUGCAUCCGUAUUCAUAUUCGUGCCUGCAAAUGACUGUGUGCUCAUUUCGUGGCAUGUGCACACGGAGGUCGGAGAAUAAUCCUCCUGCGUGUGUGUUGGUUCAUACUUUUUUUAAAAAAAGAUUUAUUUAUUUAUAUGUAAGUACACUGUAGCUGUCCUCAGAUACUUCAGAAGAGGGCAUCAGAUUUCGUUACAGAUGGUUGUGAGCCACCAUGUGGUUGCUGGGAUUUGAACUCGGGACCUACGGAAGAGCAGUUGGCGCUCUUAACCACUGAGCCAUCUCGCCAGCCCCUGGUUCAUACUUUUUGUUUAAGACAGCCUGUUUUUCUACUGUGUAUGCCAGGUUACUAGUCUUCACACUUCUGCCUCUCCUUGCCAUCUUCCCAUAGAAGCCCUGGAAUGAGGAAUGCUGUUUCCAUGUGGUUGAUCUUCAUGUUUGUGCAGCAAGCUAUUUUACCCACUGAGCCAUCUUCCCAGCCAGCCCUAGAAUUUUUUAAUCUGGUUGCAUCAUGACCUUGGAUAAAGUCUGUUUACCCCAGUGUGUAUACCUUCUCAUCUGCUCUAAAGGGAUCUGACACUGACCGAGGGCUACUGUCUGGGUUAAUUAAUGGAUUGCAGGAGCUUAAAUCUUCAAGUCUCCCUUCCCCCCAUCCCCACCCCCUUCCUUUGCUAAGAAGAGUCUGGGAACAGAUGUAGCAAGACAGAAAAGUCUGGGACAAAUACAUAUCCCUCAUUUUCCUACAGAGAAGAAUUGAUUUUAGUGAAAUUAGGAAAGGCAAAAAAGCCCAACACCAUCAAAGCUAGAAUAAGAACUGGGCAUGGUCUGCAUUCCUGUCUGCUUUAGUUUAGAGGCAGGUGAUCAGUUAGAGGCCAGCCUGGCUUACUCAUGUUCUAGGUUAGUUUUGGAAAUACAACAAGACCUCCCAACCCCAUUUCUAACCCCCAAUCCUAGGAUAUACCUGGAUGUGAUAGGUUAUUCCCAGCAUCCAGUAGGCAGAGACAGAAUCAUGAGUUUAAGACCAACCCAAGAUAAAUAGUGAAACCUUGAUUUUAAAAAAUCCAAACUAGGGCUGGGUGGUGGCACACACCUUUAAUUCCAGCACUUGGUGGGCAGAGGCAGGCAGAUCUGAGUUUUGAGGCCAGCUUGCUUCUACAUAGUUAGUUCCAGGACAGCCUGGGCUCUGUUACAGGAGAAACCCUGCCUUGAAAUAAAUAGCAACCUCCCCCCCCCC